rnacentral:rRNA from 1 species
AGUUUGAUCCUGGCUCAGGAUGAACGCUAGCGGCAGGCUUAAUACAUGCAAGUCGAGGGGUAGCAGGGUAGCAAUACCGCUGACGACCGGCAAACGGGCGCGGAACACGUACACAACCUUCCUUUUAGUGGGGAAUAGCCCAGAGAAAUUUGGAUUAAUACCCCGUAAGAUAUUAGAACGGCAUCGUUUAGAUAUUAUAGGUUUACCGCUAAGAGAUGGGUGUGCGGCUGAUUAGGUAGUUGGCGGAGUAACAGCCCACCAAGCCAACGAUCAGUAGCUGAUGUGAGAGCAUGAUCAGCCACACGGGCACUGAGACACGGGCCCGACUCCUACGGGAGGCAGCAGUAAGGAAUAUUGGACAAUGGACGCAAGUCUGAUCCAGCCAUGCCGCGUGAAGGAUUAAGGCCCUCUGGGUUGUAAACUUCUUUUAUAGGGGACGAAAAAAGGGCUUUCUAGUUCGACUGACGGUACCCUAUGAAUAAGCACCGGCUAACUCCGUGCCAGCAGCCGCGGUAAUACGGAGGGUGCAAGCGUUAUCCGGAUUCACUGGGUUUAAAGGGUGCGUAGGCGGGCAGUUAAGUCAGUGGUGAAAUCUUCGAGCUCAACUCGGAAACUGCCAUUGAUACUAUCUGUCUUGAAUACUGUGGAGGUGAGCGGAAUAUGUCAUGUAGCG